rnacentral:rRNA from 1 species
GAGAGAGAGAGAGAGAGCAGCGCGUGACAGAUGGGAUCGGGGGAAGCGGUGUGAACUGUGAAGCGAUGCAUUUUUUGUUUUACCUAUUUUGCAUCUAUACGGCUGUACCAUUCAUCCCUUUUCUAUUCUCGUUCUCCUCCCAUUCCUUUUUCUCUGUUUAGAUCCUGCAAGGGAGGAGUAUGGGGUGAGAAGGGGGAUUUGCGGCAGACUGUGGUGGUUGCAGGCUCUCGGCUGCGGCAGGUCCUCCAGCUCGAGUACACGUGCCUGCUGCUCGCCGGCACCGCCGACUUGAUGGCCGUGGAGCUCGCCCCCUUGAACCUGAGCGGUGGCUCUCCUCCAGACAGUCCACAGGAGGAGGCAAGUUGAGGGCUUCCUAGUUGCUACUACUGUCAGCUUCAACCUAUGCAAUGUGUUACAACUUUGCAUCAUUCCUACUUCAUGCACACCGGCUGAUUCUUCACAG